GCUCGGUGAUGAUGUAAAGGCUGAUGUGACUUCACCAGCUGGGUUGCACCCUCGGCCCAUUCCGGUCGUACGGGCCUGUAAUCUUGGCGGACAGUGCGGAGCUGUGCGUGUUCGCUGUAAGGGCAGGCCGACAGAAAAUCCCCUUCCUCGCGUCCUGGGAAAACGCACCUCUGGGACGCAGCAGCUCCGAGCGAGCGUCUGCGUGAGCUGAAGGGGGGGCUGCGGGGACAGGGCAGCACAGCAUUUCCAAGGUUUGGGUCGCAGGGGACAGCCCACGUUGCAGCUGGUGAGAUGUGAGCACAUGUCUUUGGUAAUCUGAUGGCU
rnacentral:snoRNA from 1 species